rnacentral:rRNA from 1 species
UUUAUGGAGAGUUUGAUCCUGGCUCAGGAUGAACGCUGGCGGCGUGCCUAAUACAUGCAAGUCGAGCGAACGGACGAGAAGCUUGCUUCUCUGAUGUUAGCGGCGGACGGGUGAGUAACACGUGGAUAACCUACCUAUAAGACUGGGAUAACUUCGGGAAACCGGAGCUAAUACCGGAUAAUAUUUUGAACCGCAUGGUUCAAAAGUGAAAGACGGUCUUGCUGUCACUUAUAGAUGGAUCCGCGCUGCAUUAGCUAGUUGGUAAGGUAACGGCUUACCAAGGCAACGAUGCAUAGCCGACCUGAGAGGGUGAUCGGCCACACUGGAACUGAGACACGGUCCAGACUCCUACGGGAGGCAGCAGUAGGGAAUCUUCCGCAAUGGGCGAAAGCCUGACGGAGCAACGCCGCGUGAGUGAUGAAGGUCUUCGGAUCGUAAAACUCUGUUAUUAGGGAAGAACAUAUGUGUAAGUAACUGUGCACAUCUUGACGGUACCUAAUCAGAAAGCCACGGCUAACUACGUGCCAGCAGCCGCGGUAAUACGUAGGUGGCAAGCGUUAUCCGGAAUUAUUGGGCGUAAAGCGCGCGUAGGCGGUUUUUUAAGUCUGAUGUGAAAGCCCACGGCUCAACCGUGGAGGGUCAUUGGAAACUGGAAAACUUGAGUGCAGAAGAGGAAAGUGGAAUUCCAUGUGUAGCGGUGAAAUGCGCAGAGAUAUGGAGGAACACCAGUGGCGAAGGCGACUUUC